rnacentral:rRNA from 1 species
UACGAAGGGUGCAAGCGUUGUCCGGAAUCACUGGGCGUAAAGGGCGCGUAGGCGGCUCAUGAAGGCUGUGGUGAAAGUCCGGGGCUCAACCUCGGAUCGGCCGUGGCGACUCGUGGGCUGGAGCACUGUAGAGGCGGGUGGAAUUCCGGGUGUAGCGGUGGAAUGCGUAGAGAUCCGGAAGAACACCAGUGGCGAAGGCGGCCCGCUGGGCAGUGGCUGACGCUGAGGCGCGACAGCGUGGGGAGCAAACAGG